AAGUCGGACCUGCCCAGUGAAUGUAUUUUAACGGCCGCGGUACUCUGACCGUGCAAAGGUAGCAUAAUCAUUUGCCCUAUAAUUGAGGGCUAGUAUGAAUGGUUUGACGUGAACAAGACUGUCUCUAUGUAAUUUUUUAGAAUUUGAUUUCUAGGUGAAGAAACCUAGAUAUUAUUGAAAGACAAGAAGACCCUAUUGAGCUUUAAAUAAAUAAAUUGAAAAUAAUAUAUAGCUUUAAAUAUUAAUCUAUUUAAGAUUUUGGUUGGGGCGACUAUGGAACAAAUAAAGCUUCUUUAUAGCGAAUUAGACUAACAGGUAUUGAUCCAGAAAUUUUGAUUAAUGAAAUUAGUUACCAUAGGGAUAACAGCAUAAUUCUCUUUGAGAGCUCUUAUCGAAAAGAGAGUUUGUGACCUCGAUGUUGGACUAGAAUAUCCUAAAGAUGCAGCAGUCUUUAAAGGUUGGUC
rnacentral:rRNA from 1 species